UGAGGAAUAUUGGUCAAUGGGGGCAACCCUGAACCAGCCAAGUCGCGUGAAGGAUGAAGGUCUUAUGGAUUGUAAACUUCUUUUACACGGGAAUAAAGUGGGGGACGUGUCCCCCCUUGCAUGUACCGUGUGAAUAAGGAUCGGCUAACUCCGUGCCAGCAGCCGCGGUAAUACGGAGGAUCCGAGCGUUAUCCGGAUUUAUUGGGUUUAAAGGGUGCGCAGGCGGGAUGUUAAGUCGGCGGUGAAAUUUUGCAGCUCAACUGUAAAAGUGCCUUCGAUACUGGCCUCCUUGAGUGUGGAUGAAGUAGGCGGAAUUUGUGGUGUAGCGGUGAAAUGCUUAGAUAUCACGAGGAACUCCGAUUGCGCAGGCAGCUUACUAAGCCACAACUGACGCUCAUGCACGAAGGCGUGGGGAUCAAACA
rnacentral:rRNA from 1 species